rnacentral:tRNA from 1 species
GGCCCGUUCGUCUAGUGGUUAGGACACACGGUUUUCAUCCGUGCAACAGGAGUUCGACUCUCCUACGGGCUACCA